GACGAACGCUGGCGGCGUGCUUAACACAUGCAAGUCGAGCGGUAAGGCUCCUUCGGGAGUACACGAGCGGCGAACGGGUGAGUAACACGUGAGUAAUCUGCCCUUCACUUCGGGAUAACCACCGGAAACGGUGGCUAAUACCGAAUACGACCAGUCUUCGCAUGAGGUGCUGGUGGAAAGUCUUUUCGGUGAAGGAUGUGCUCGCGGCCUAUCAGCUUGUUGGUGGGGUAAUGGCCUACCAAGGCUUCGACGGGUACCCGGCCUGAGAGGGUGACCGGCCACACUGGGACUGGGACACGGCACAGACUCCUACGGGAGGCAGCAGUGGUGAAUAUUGGACAAUGGGCGAAAGCCUGAUCCAGCAACGCCGCGUGAGGGAUGACGGCCAUCGGGUUGUAAACCUCUUUCAGUACCGACGAAGCGCCCUGUCGGGUGGUGACGGUAGGUACAGAAGAAGGACCGGCCAACUACGUG
rnacentral:rRNA from 1 species